GUGUCCAUAGUUCAGUCGGUUAGAACGCCAGGAUGUGGCCCUGGAGGUCGUGGGUUCAAAUCCCACUGGUCACCCCA
rnacentral:tRNA from 1 species